rnacentral:lncRNA from 1 species
UAAAUCUAGAUCCGGACCCGAUGAAAUAUCCGAUAAUAAAUAAAUAAAAAAUUUUGAACUUUUAAAGUUGAGGGAUCAAUUUUAAUAGGAAUUAUAGACGAGGGAUCUCUAAGUAUUUUUAAGUAUUUUUAUCCUAGGGAAACCCUAGCCGCUCUUUUACUACUUUCUUUUUUCUAAUUUUUUUACUCUUUGUUUUUAACUCUUUAUUUUUUUUGUUUCAUUUCCGCCUAAGAGUUUUUUAUGAAACAAUAUUUCCAUCGUCGUUAUCAUUACCGAUAUUAAUCCUUUACAAGUAUGAUACAAGUGAGUUUUUUUUUCAAAUCCCCUCUCCAAUCAUAGUCGACAAUCUAGUUUUUUUUAAUGAAUAUUCUAU